rnacentral:lncRNA from 1 species
GUUGCUUCCAUGUCCUGGCUCUUAUUGUAAACAGGGCUGCAGUGAACACUGGGGUGCAUGUAUUCUUCUGAAUCAUGAACAUGUCCUUUUUGAUGGAAUAAACCUUUAAUUAAUAGAUGUUCAGAUGAUCAUGCCCCAUAUUACCAGUGUGUACCUCCCCUUUCUCAUGAAGACCCUUACCAAGGUAAAGUCUGGCAAACUUCAUCAAUGAGAAGACAAGAUUCUGAAUUCUAGUGACCCAGAUGAACUGAAAAACUUUUUCUUUAAUUUUCCUGGACUUCCCUGAACCUUUGAGGAAGGCAGAAAAAGUCUUUGCCUCAUGCAUUGUUUUCUUCAGGUGACACCAUCUGGGAAUACAGAUAGCCAUCAGGGACCACCAGACCACUUCUUUUGGUACCUGCAAGAGUAACUUCUCUUCUCAGCCACAAAUAGGUUCUUUCUUUUCAAACCCUUGCAGAGACCAUAUUUCCAAUAUCCCAACACGCCCGAGGUCAGAGAUUGUUGAUCAGUGGCCAGUUGUACCUUGGGUCUUAGUCUGAGUUAUGAAGGAGGAUGAAGUCAGGAAGAGCUCCCUGAACACACUAUGGAAUGCAGCCUUUGGUAGACAACCCCUGUACAGGAGGAAAUGUUUUUCUUCAAGACCAUUUCUGAUUCUGGUUUCCUAAUUCCAUUUCUGAGCAGCUUCUCUGCACUGUGUUGGCUGUCUUUGGGAAAACAGAAGGCCUUCCUGAAGAUGAUGAAACUGUCCCUUGUCUCUCAGGUAUCUUGGUACUCAACCUGACCCACUGGAGUUUCCUUGGAUAAGAGCCUUGGCAGGGACCCAGCCUAAGUAAUUUAUGGCCUGAGAGUGGUAAUUUAUAUCACAUCCAUCAUCUUCUAACUCAUUCCAAGGGAAGAAUGUCCUGACUGUGAAAGAAUUCUGGCCCAGGACCAGGGAGCAGGGCUGAUGUGUAAUAUUCUUGUAUCCACAUUAUAUAAGUUAAUUAGGUAAGGUUAACAUAGGGUAUCUUUUGGUUAUUUUAAGAGCCAUCUGUAAAAUACCACCUAAAGUUAUACAAUCUCCGUGAGGGAUCUUGAUGGUAACUUCUGGUUGCUGUAAGCAUCUCUGUUCUGCUAUUCUAUUAACAUGUAAAUAGAGUUGCUCUGUGACUUGUUUGUGGUGGUUUGAACAAAGCAUUUCACUUUCAGUCACCAAAAUGAAACUGCCUGAAAGCUGUUCUCCAAGUGAAGGUCAUGGGCUUCAGCAAGGGAAUUAGGAAGUACAGCACUGACUGUCUCUGGUUGGCAGAACAUUUACCUCUGAGAUAAAACCUUGGCUUUUAUUUUCAAGGAUAUCUUAGAGUAGGCAAAGGUAAUGCAAUUAUUCUCAGUGGAAGUACACAGUGAUAGAACAAUGGGAACACUUAAAAGGUGCCCUUAACCAUUUUCAUAUAAAGGGAAGGCUGAAAAGUCUCUGUUCAUUCAUUUAUGUUGUCAUUAUAAAAUGUCUUGGAAACCAAGGUUCAUGAGUGUAAAUUGCUGGGGAAGCAAUUGACGUAAUUAAUGGAGGAGAAAAUGUUCUUUUAAAAAUGUCCCUAUAAUCAGAGUUUGGAUAUAGUGUUCAUUGAAAUAUGUGGAUGUUGGUGUACAUAUUUGGCUUGGAGAUACAUUUUUUUUCCUCUGAUGCAUCCAUUGGGCAUAAAUGAGUAUUAGAUCCUACACGCACUUCGUUAAUUUAGAACAGUACUCUGUCUGUGAUAUCAGUAGUGCCCAAGCAUAUAUAAAUUUUGAUCAUCACAUUCAUAUACACAUCAUAUCUCACACAUUACUUAAACUGUUAAAAUAAAUUUCCAGGCAAAAGUGAGACAAUUUAAAAUGUGAUGGCAAACUUCUGAAAUUGUCAAUUUAUUUUCUUUUACAAGUAUCCAUGACAAAGCAAACACAGGAAAAUAUCUCAAUGUCUACUUCACUUGAUAUCUUUUUGUAGCAGUGAUUAUAAAAAAUAAUCAGUUAAAUCAAUAAUGUAGUUUAACACAAAUAAUUUUGACAAAUACUAUCCUCAAAAUGUAAUAUUUACAGCUGAGAUUCAAAGUACAGUUGAAACUAAAUUGGCUUUGCCUAUUAAUUUUAUAUUUAAAGUGUUAUUGAAAAAUAGAGUUAAUAAUAGUACCUACCUUAUAGGAUUGUUAUAAAAUUCCCAUGAUUAGUUCAUGCAAAAUGCUUAAAACUGCCUGAAGAAUAAUAAACACUGAAUAAACUGCAUUUAUUAUACUGUUAACAAUAUAACUUACAGUUAGGCUGACAGUUACAGUUAAAAUUGAAUAUAGUUUUAUAUUCUACUCUUAAAUCCUUUUGGCACUAGUUUGACAUUCCUGUACUUAGAUUCCCUGGAGAAGGAAAUGGCAACCCACUCCAGUACUCUUGCCUGGAAAAUCCCAUGGACAGAGAAACCUGGUAGGCGACAGUCCAUGGGGUCGCAAAGAGUCGGACACGACUGAGCAACUUCACUUCAUCUUUAUUUAAAAGUCUGGGAUUAGUCUUUCAUCCCAGUAAAUAUUUCCUCCACAUUUACAAAUGUGGUAAAUGCUGUAUCAAUCCCAAAUAUUCUCUAUAACUACAAUUUGGUAGCUGUGUCCCAUAAAUAAAAAUAAAAACGUACAGAAAUUCACCAAUUAAAUACAUUACAACUAUAUCACAUGAGUAAACAAAUUUUUUAUUUUCAAGGAAAUGUGUAUGGUGAACCACAUUUUAGAAUACAGUUUUGCCUUAACAUUUUCGUUUUACAUUCUACAUUAAGUAAAUGUUAAAUCAAAGGCAAGUUUUGUUAACCUGAAAUUCUUACACAGAAAGUUUAUGAUUAAUGUCAAUUGGCACAAAAACUAAUCAAAGAUUUAUUAGAUGCUCUAUUCCCACAAAACCCACAUACAAAAGUGCUGAUAGAAUGAUUUAUACUCGUCAGACUUAGUUAAGCCCCUAAGACCAAAGUCAAAUUGAAUUUGGGAUACAGUAAAAUGAGAGCAUCAUUAUUUCCACUCCCCCAGAUUCUCUUAAAUGUUAGUCCAUUUAUCAUUGACCAUCCCAUUUCAGUGGGAAACAUAAGAGGCUAUGUUGAGGAUUUUAUCUGGGAGUAUUAUGUUGAACCUAAAACAUAAUAUUCUUUCAACAGUUUUAAGUUACCUGUACCUGAUGCUUCCUUUAUAAAAUGUUAGCAAGUCUGUUUCUGUACAAGUGGCUGCAAACCAUGUGACCUAAGCAAAAAAAAAUUGCUUUGAGAGAGAGUAUUGCUGGUAUAAUAACAGGGCUCAACAGGUAUUUGCAAAUUUUUAAACUCUUCUCUCAAGAGGUAUAGUGGUCUCUUUGAAACACAGGGUCCAUUGAGUAUGAACCAAGACAAAGAUAAAACUGAAGGACAUGAGAUAUUUCUAUAGAAAGAAAGUUCUGGCAAAAGAGACAGCAAAAGAGACACAGAUGUAAAGAACAGACUUUUGGACUCUGUGGGAGAGGGAGAGGGUGGGAUGAUUUGGGAGAAUGGCAUUGAAACAUGUAUACUAUCAUGUAAGAAAUGAAUCGCUAGGUUCCAUACAAGAUACAGUAUGCUUGGGGCUGGUGCACUGGGAUGAACCAGAGAGAUG